rnacentral:lncRNA from 1 species
UUUAGCGACAAAAAGUGUAGCCUUUGGUGUUCUUGAGGCUCAAGAACAUUCAUUCGCCAGUUUCGAGUGACCAUGUUUGACCCUUAAUAAAUUAGUGUGUAGUGUGUUUCUGGGCUAGCUAAUAAUCAAAUGUUGUAGCAGAUAUGUAAAAGUACAAGUUUAUAACAAUAUCUGGACCAACAUAUAACACACGAGCAAGAUCUAAGGAUAAGAACAUGCUGUCAGAGCUG